AACGCGAAGAACCUUACCUACCCUUGACAUGCCAGGAAGUCUGCUGAGAGGUGGACGUGCCCGAAAGGGAGCCUGAACACAGGUGCUGCAUGGCUGUCGUCAGCUCGUGUCGUGAGAUGUUGGGUUAAGUCCCGCAACGAGCGCAACCCUUGUCACUAGUUGCUACGGUAACGGGCACUCUAGUGAGACUGCCGGUGACAAACCGGAGGAAGGUGGGGAUGACGUCAAGUCCUCAUGGCCCUUAUGGGUAGGGCUUCACACGUCAUACAAUGGCGCAUACAGAGGGCUGCCAACCCGCGAGGGGGAGCCAAUCCCAGAAAGUGCGUCGUAGUCCGGAUUGCAGUCUGCAACUCGACUGCAUGAAGUCGGAAUCGCUAGUAAUCGCGGAUCAGCAAUGUCGCGGUGAAUACGUUCCCGGGUCUUGUACACACCG
rnacentral:rRNA from 1 species